rnacentral:tRNA from 3 species
GCGGGAGUAGCUCAGUGGUAGAGCUUUUCGUUGCCAACGAAAAGGUCGCGGGUUCGAGCCCCGUCUCCCGCUCCA